GCCACAGAGCAGGACAGGUGGUGCCCAGUGUUUUCUGAAAUUAUUAGAACGUUCUUGAUGGUUUAUCCCUGCAGCCCUCCCUUCUCACACCGUCCUCCCAGGACUAAUAAUGGGAGUCGGAGCCGUGGGCGCCCGGGCCAGGAGACAAAUUUCUGGAGCUGCUCUCCUCCCGAGGCUUCUGGAGGGAGGGCGGAGGUCCAGUCCUCUGGAAGAAUAAAGGCCCAGUUGUACUGUUAAAUUAUGGGAAAUGCCAAGGACCAAGAAGAGCCCGGAAAAUCGUGAAAAAGAACACAGUCGAAAGACUCACAUUUCCAGAUGGCAAGACUUAUCAUAAAAUUAUAGCAAUUAAGUCAGUGCGGUAUCAGCACAAACUUUUUCAGCAAAAGCAGAGAUAGGUGACGGACCAAUAGGAC